CUGGGGGCUGCCGCCAUGUUUCCUGAACACAAAAUGGCGACACGUGAGGAAGACAAACAUAAAGAUGAAGUGCUUAAUUCAAGGUCACACAAUGUCGGGGAUGGACCUCCAGAUUUCCUUACUGACCUGCAUUAUCUUGUGGAUACCUGAGUGAAUUCCACACCACCCAUUUUAUAGAUGAAACCACUGAGACAUGGAGCAACUGACUGAGUAGUCACUGCCCCACCCCUGCCUGGAGCCUCACACAUGACUCGUCUCCUCUCAGUGACCACAGUACUUAUCCUGUAUUACAUGAAGGAAAUGAAAUAAAAAGACUGCAACCC
rnacentral:lncRNA from 1 species